rnacentral:rRNA from 1 species
AUUGAACGCUGGCGGCAGGCCUAACACAUGCAAGUCGAGCGGAUGAAGGGAGCUUGCUCCUGGAUUCAGCGGCGGACGGGUGAGUAAUGCCUAGGAAUCUGCCUGGUAGUGGGGGAUAACGUCCGUAAACGGGCGCUAAUACCGCAUACGUCCCGAGGGAGAAAGUGGGGGAUCUUCGGACCUCACGCUAUCAGAUGAGCCUAGGUCGGAUUAGCUAGUUGGUGGGGUAAAGGCCUACCAAGGCGACGAUCCGUAACUGGUCUGAGAGGAUGAUCAGUCACACUGGAACUGAGACACGGUCCAGACUCCUACGGGAGGCAGCAGUGGGGAAUAUUGGACAAUGGGCGAAAGCCUGAUCCAGCCAUGCCGCGUGUGUGAAGAAGGUCUUCGGAUUGUAAAGCACUUUAAGUUGGGAGGAAGGGCAGUAAGUUAAUACCUUGCUGUUUUGACGUUACCAACAGAAUAAGCACCGGCUAACUUCGUG